rnacentral:misc_RNA from 1 species
AUAUAUCAUCAACCCUCUCUUGUUGAGUUGUUUGGAUGUUGGGGGUUUUGCUGGCCUCUUGAAGAGUUCAGCUCCUCUGAAAUGCAUUAGUGGAACGGCUCCAUUCAUUGGUGUGAUAACUAUAUCUAUGCUAUUGAAUGGUAGCUUUUUUCAAAUGGUCUCUUGGACAAUUUUUAUCAUUA